AGCCUGAACAGAAUGAGUACCAUUCCUCCAAACUUAGAGACAUGAAGAACCUCACAGUGAACCCAGGUUCCAGGACCAAGAUCUAUGUGGGCAGACAGAAGAAGACCACAGCUCAAUUCAAAUGGAAGACACAACGAUCGGAAAGGAUGUGGCUAAGAGGAAGGACUUGUAUCUGCUAAGAGUCUGCUGGAGUCAUGAGCAAUAACAGCACCUUCUAUUUUAGGCCUGAUAGUGAUAAAGUUCACUCAAAGUCUGA